rnacentral:rRNA from 1 species
UACGUAGGGCGCAAGCGUUGUCCGGAAUUACUGGGCGUAAAGGGCUCGUAGGCGGCCAACUAAGUCGGAUGUGAAAUCCCUCGGCUUAACCGGGGAACUGCAUCUGAUACUGGAUGGCUUGAGAUUGGGAGAGGGAUGCGGAAUUCCAGGUGUAGCGGUGAAAUGCGUAGAUAUCUGGAGGAACACCGGUGGCGAAGGCGGCAUCCUGGACCAACACUGACGCUGAGGAGCGAAAGCCAGGGGAGCAAACGGG